AAUUUGUGUGUGUCUGUAGGUUUUUAGAGAAAUGGCCUGGUCCAGGAGAGAGUUCGACUGAGCUGAUCCUCGGGGGCAGCCAGGAGAAGGAUGCAAUCGAGCCAGUGUUUCCAAAGAUGAAAGCCCCCACAUUUGCAACUCUGCAGCCCAACAUCAUGAGGAACUUCCGAAGCAAGAUGCCUGAUCUGACACCUGAGAUUCCUGAGCAGAGCAAGAGAGCAGAGGUUUACUUGAGACGGCUGAGACAAAUGCAUCAGCUUUGCUUGACCAACAUGGCUUUUUCCCAAAGGUUGGUAUUGUAGCAAAGUUCUGAGAUUUGAUCCCCUUCCUAUGAGUUUGAAUUGGAUCUUUUGAGUAGCGUUCAGUGAGGAGACAGAAGAUCAGGAGCGUCGUCAAACAAGUCUUUCAACUGCUCUUUAAACUGAGCGGGGUUUGUUUUUCUCUGCUUGCUGUGAACUCUGGUCCAGACUGUUGGACAGAGAGAGAGACUCACUGUGCUGGC